rnacentral:rRNA from 1 species
AGCAGCCGCGGUAAUUCCAGCUCCAAUAGCGUAUAUUAAAGUUGUUGCAGUUAAAAAGCUCGUAGUUGAAUUUCGGGGUCAGUAGGUUGGUCGUGCCACUGGUACGUACUGGUCUCACUGAUUCCUCCUUCCUGACGAACCGUAAUGCCAUUAAUUUGGUGUUGCGGGGAAACUGGACUGUUACUUUGAAAAAAUUGAGUGUUUAAAGCAGGCUAACGCUUGAAUACAUUAGCAUGGAAUAAUGAAAUAGGACGUUCGAUCCUAUUUUGUGGUUUCUAGGAUCGACGUAAUGAUUAAUAGGGAUAGUUGGGGGCAUUAGUAUUCAAUUGCCAGAGGUGAAAUUCUUGGAUUUAUUGAAGACUAACUACUGCGAAAGCAUUUGCCAAGGAUGUUUUCAUUAAUCAAGAACGAAGUUAGGGGAUCGAAGACGAUCAGAUACCGUCGUAGUCUUAACCAUAAACUAUGCCGACUAGGGAUCGGAUGAUGUUAAUUUUUAAUGUACUCAUUCGGCGCCUUACGG